rnacentral:rRNA from 1 species
GUGAGGAAUAUUGGUCAAUGGGCGGGAGCCUGAACCAGCCAAGUCGCGUGAAGGAAGAAGGAUCUAUGGUUCGUAAACUUCUUUUGCAGGGGAAUAAAGUGCGGGACGUGUCCUGUUUUGUAUGUACCCUGAGAAUAAGGAUCGGCUAACUCCGUGCCAGCAGCCGCGGUAAUACGGAGGAUCCGAGCGUUAUCCGGAUUUAUUGGGUUUAAAGGGUGCGUAGGUGGUUUGAUAAGUCAGCGGUGAAAGUUUGCAGCUUAACUGUAAAAAUGCCGUUGAAACUGUCGGACUUGAGUGUAAAUGAGGUAGGCGGAAUGCGUGGUGUAGCGGUGAAAUGCAUAGAUAUCACGCAGAACUCCGAUUGCGAAGGCAGCUUACUAAGCUACAACUGACACUGAAGCACGAAAGCGUGGGGAUCAAACAGGAUUAGAUACCCUUGUAGUCC